AUUGAACGCUGGCGGCAUGCUUUACACAUGCAAGUCGGACGGCAGCACAGAGAAGCUUGCUUCUUGGGUGGCGAGUGGCGAACGGGUGAGUAAUAUAUCGGAACGUACCGAGUAAUGGGGGAUAACUAAUCGAAAGAUUAGCUAAUACCGCAUAUUCUCUGAGGAGGAAAGCAGGGGACCUUCGGGCCUUGCGUUAUUCGAGCGGCCGAUAUCUGAUUAGCUAGUUGGUGGGGUAAAGGCCUACCAAGGCGACGAUCAGUAGCGGGUCUGAGAGGAUGAUCCGCCACACUGGGACUGAGGCACGGCCCAGACUCCUACGGGAGGCAGCAGUGGGGAAUUUUGGACGAUGGGCGCAAGCCUGAUCCAGCCAUGCCGCGUGUCUGAAGAAGGCCUUCGGGUUGUAAAGGACUUUUGUCAGGGAAGAAAAGGCUGUUGCUAAUAUCGACAGCUGAUGACGGUACCUGAAGAAUAAGCACCGGCUAACUACGUG
rnacentral:rRNA from 1 species